rnacentral:tRNA from 1 species
GAUAAAAUGGCUGAACUAGGCAAUAAACUGUAAAUUUAUAUAUGAAAAUUAAUUAAAUUUUCUUUUAUCA